rnacentral:rRNA from 1 species
GACGAACGCUGGCGGCGUGCCUAACACAUGCAAGUCGAGCGGGGAGAAGAAUUCGUUUUUCUCUUUAGCGGCGGACGGGUGAGUAACACGUGGGUAACCUGCCUCAAAGAGGGGGAUAGCCUUCCGAAAGGAAGAUUAACACCGCAUAAUAUCAGGAAGCUGCAUGGCAUUCUGAUUAAAGGAGCAAUCCGCUUUGAGAUGGACCCGCGGCGCAUUAGCUAGUUGGUGAGGUAACGGCCCACCAAGGCGACGAUGCGUAGCCGACCUGAGAGGGUGAUCGGCCACAUUGGAACUGAGACACGGUCCAGACUCCUACGGGAGGCAGCAGUGGGGAAUAUUGCACAAUGGGGGAAACCCUGAUGCAGCAACGCCGCGUGAGUGAUGAAGGCCUUCGGGUCGUAAAGCUCUUUGAUCAGGGACGAUAAUGACGGUACCUGAAAAACAAGCCACGGCUAACUACGUGCCAGCCGCCGCGGUAAAAC